rnacentral:rRNA from 1 species
UACGUAGGCAGCAAGCGUUGUUCGGAGUUACUGGGCGUAAAGGGUGUGUAGGCGGCUUCGUAAGUUCGGUGUGAAAUCUCCCGCUUAACUGGGAGGGUGCGCCGAAAACUGCGAAGCUGGAGCGCAGGAGAGGAAAGCAGAAAUUCCUGGUGUAGCGGUGAAAUGCGUAGAUAUCAGGAGGAACACCGGUGGCGAAGGCGGGGUCUCUGGGGCAACAACUGACGCUGAGGAGCGAAAAGCGUGGGGGAGCGAAACAGG